rnacentral:rRNA from 1 species
GACGAACGCUGGCGGCGCGCUUAACACAUGCAAGUCGAGCGACGAAAGGUCCUUUCGGGGACCCUGAAAGCGGCGAACGGGUGAGUAACACGUGGGUAACCCACCCUCGGUUUCGGGAUAGCCCGGGGAAACCCGGACUUAAUACCGAAUAGCCUCUCCGGUCUUCGGGCGUGGUGAGAAAAGGUAAGCUUCGGCCUCCGACCGAGGACGGGCCCGCGGCCGAUUAGCUUGUUGGUGAGGUAACGGCUCACCAAGGCGACGAUCGGUAGCNGGUCUGAGAGGACGAUCAGCCACCACUGGGAC